UACAAAGAAGAAGAAAAAACACUUGAAAGAUCAGUCAAGCAAGCGACUCUCAAUUCGAAAUAUGAGAGGAAAAUAAUCGAAGCGGAACAAAGGCGAAUAAAUUGUCAAGAAAAUACCACAUUUACGAAUACAGUUAGGUUAAAUUUUUUAGAAGAAACUGAUGGGAAAUACUUCAACCACAACGCGUUGUAAAAUUUUGGUAAUUGGGCUAUAUACAAAAUAGAGAUUUACAAAAAUGUAACUGGGAAGUUUUUAAAGGAACUCAAGCAAGAGAUCAACGUGCUUCUCCCUCUGUUUCUUUCCUCAUCUACCGCUCAAUCUCUCUAAAUCAUCGACUAGCUCUUAUCACUUACCUAUAAGCUGUUGCUUCGGAAACAUCUCGGAGCAAACUCCAAAAACUCUAACGCUCUGUUUACGGUUCGAUUUGCUGGGAAAAAGGGAGAAGGCGGGCUUGAGGUAGGACCCCGAACUAGAACUAGAAUCCCUUGUCUUUAUCAGUGUAUACACACAUGCAUAUGUAUGUGUGUGCUGCUUGUGUGAAUGUGUGUGAGUUCGUGUAACUGUCACUGCGAUUGCGAAUGCGAAUGAGAAUGCGACUGCUAAUGAGCAGGCGACAAGUUGCUGGCGAGAACUUAACACAGUUAAACAUAUCGGCGCUAGGAAACCGGAGGAGCCUCAGCAGCAGGAGCUGCGGGAGCAGUAAAACUCCUGGUCACAGAAAAAGUUUACCCAGCAAUUAAAUGGGCCUAAAUAGCCGCCCGCUACAUGGGCUUGUUGGCUAAGAAAAAGGAAGAAAAGGAGAAGAAAAAAAAUGUGGAUAUUACGGAUGAAAUGUGAAGAGAUGUCACUUUCUAUAUAUUACGUGUGUACGACAAAGUAAAUAGUAAUUAAAGAACACACAAAAGUUUAAGUAUGAAUAGGAACUCUUCACCUUAUCAGCAUUUCUCCUAGAAAGCGGAAAGUCUAUUUUGGAAAUAAUUUUAAUUUAUUUUU